rnacentral:rRNA from 1 species
AACGAACGCUGGCGGCGCGCCUAAUACAUGCAAGUCGAGCGAGAAGACGUAGCAAUACGUUUGUAAAGCGGCGAACGGGUGAGGAAUACAUGGGUAACCUACCCUCGAGUGGGGAAUAACUAGCCGAAAGGUUAGCUAAUACCGCGUACGCUCCUUGGACUUCGGUUCAGGGAGGAAAGCAAUACCGUGGGUAUCGCGCUCUUGGAUGGGCUCAUGUCCCUAUCAGCUUGUUGGUGAGGAACGGCUCACCAAGGCUUCGACGGGUAGCUGGUCUGAGAGGACGAUCAGCCACACUGGCACUGCGACACGGGGCCAGACUCCUACGGGAGGCAGCAGUAAGGAUAUUGCGCAAUGGGCGAAAGCCUGACGCAG